UACACUACAGAUUCCAGGAUGCCAUAGC
rnacentral:piRNA from 1 species